GCUGUGAUGGCCGAGUGGUUAAGGCGUUGGACUUGAAAUCCAAUGGGGUUUCCCCGCGCAGGUUGAACCCUGCUUUCGGCG
rnacentral:tRNA from 1 species